GGGGGAGCCUGGUGGGCUGCUGUCUAUGGGCUUGCACAGAGUCAGACACGACUGAAACAACUUAGCAGCAGCAGCAGAGUAAAUUGCCAUUCCCUUCUCAAGCCUACUCACCAUUAAAUGAGGGGCUUCCCAGGUGGCACUAGUGGUAAAGAACGCACUUGCCAAUGCAGGUUCACUCCCUCAGUCAAGAUCUCCUGGAGGCGGCCAUGGCAAUCUGCUCCAGUAUUCUUGCCUGGAGAAUCCCAUGGACAGAGGAGCCUGGCAUACUAGUCUAUAGGGCCACACAGAGUCAGACCCGACUGAAGUGGCUUAGCACGCACCAUUAUAUGAAGAAAUGGCUAGUGGCAUUAGCAGCAGCAACAAUAACAAGUUAUUUAUCAAAUCCAUUACUGACAACACCAGUAAUGAUAGUUAUCAUUUUUUAAAUUUACCACCCAUAAUAAUACUAAAAAUCACAGUUAUCAACUCACCAUCAGUUCUAUCAGUAACCACAAUUAACCAUGUGUUAAAUGUCUGUAUCAUAAACCAGAUAAUCCCACAUGAAGGGAACUGGAGCUCCAGAGUUAAACUUGCCCAAAACCAUGGCGGGCAUGGAACCUGGCCCGGUGUUGGGAGCCUGAAGUCAGCCUCUGGACCACCAGGGAAGUCCCUCCCCAGACAAAGGAACAGAUCUGCAAACACAGGACCCGCUGUCACAUCACGGAAGGAGUUAGAUUACUAGGCUGGUCGACGACGGGGGCCUUCAGAACCCCGGUGAUUGUCUUCAUGUCUGUAGCCCAGCAUUUCUAGAUUCUGCGACGACGUCCUCAGACUUCUUAAUGUCCUGCUUUGUAACCCCCGUCGGGCCUCGUGAAUGGUGGUGAAGAUAACGUGACUGCGGAGCGCAGGGUCGCCCCGGGAGGGGCUGGGGGCCUGGCCAGUGGGAAGGUUGUAUGCGGAGCCGCGACAUCACCCCACCGGAAUCAGACCAUCGCCUCCAUUCAGUGGCGGAAUGUGGGCGGGCGUAGGAUGCAAGGGCCCCUCGGCCUGCAGUUAACCCUGUGCGCGCCCGCGGUGGAGCAUUCCCAGGCGCGCACAAUAUGUCACCCGGGGUGUGGAGCAUCCCUCGCUCCCAAGGACCAUGCGUGGUACUUUGGUUUGCCAAAUUGAUUUUCCUCUAGAUAUACUCGUGGCUCUUUCAGUGUUGCCUUCUUUUUUCCCCCACUGUCAUCAUUUAAUCACCAUAGAUAUAUUUCUCAGGACCACAUUUUCUCACUGCAAUUCAAAUAAUUUAGAAAACAUUUUAAGAUAAUCAUGGGGCUAGAUUAGGGUUAGGGUUAGAAAAGUUGAAAAUGUAAUAUAAGACAAAUGAACGUUUCUCUACCCUUCAUCUGCGUUCACCAUUUGUUAGCGUUUUGCCAUUAGCUUUAUCAUAUAUCUGCAUAGAGGUUUCUCUCUCCUGAAUUACUUACAAUUUCAGAUCUAACAUUUUGCCCUGAAAUAAUUCACAUGAAGGAAUUGGCAUAAGGACGUUUUUCUUCAUAACCACAAUACUGUUAUCACACCUAAGAUAAUUAACUCUGCUUCAAUAAUGCCACUUAAAAUAGAGGCCAUAUUUAACAUUUCUAAAUUGUUCACAAAAUACCUUUUAACUAAAUUUUUUAAAAAUCCAAAAUCC
ensembl:lncRNA